rnacentral:lncRNA from 1 species
GAAAAUAAAGGAGAGUCGACCCAAUUGAUUGGACCAUAGUAAGAAGUAGAAGGGGGGCUCUUGACAAGCAUCGUGUUUUCUUUUGUGUAAGUAGCCAUGUAUGUGUGUUUUGAGAGAUUAGUUGUGAGUACUUGCUUGUGUUAGAAUACAAUGGCGAUUGAGAAGACUAAGAAGUAGUUGAAUAGAGAGAGAAACAGCGUAAUGUAAGGUGCAAGGAUGAUUUGCUAUUAUUGAGGUGUAUUAUUAUGACUAAUAUGGAGGCGAUUCGAGUGGAUGUUUGUUGGACUAAGGAGAAGUAGCAGGAUUUUUGAUGAAAACAUAGGCAUGGAUUUUUGUGCAUUUCGCAAAACUUACCACCAAUUGAUGUUGCAUUGGUAGAAGUUAGGAUUAAGGAGAAGUAGAUGGCAAAAAAGGAAAAGAUGGCGAACAUGGUAUUUGAGAAAGCAAGGAUGGAGAUCAAUUGAAAGGAACGGCAAGAACAGUUGCAGGUAAAGGUUGCGAUGUUGCAGACUAAAUUAGUUGUAUUAGCGAAGGACACCAAUAAUUUAGUACGGACCAAUAUGCCAGUUUCAGCAACAACACCUUUGGAAAU